UCGACAGCAACAUCACAAAAUCAUACCAUUAUACAGGUCGAAGAAUAGUCGACAGCCUGUAUCAUCCUCUUCAGGUAACAUCAGCCAUGGAAUUCCAGGCAGGUCACUGGUAAAAUUGUUCUUGGUGGCUACGCAGUCCAGGAUUCGCAAACGAUGCCAAAAUUUAGGUAGUCUUCAAAUCAAAUUCAAACGUUUAGCAAUGAGAACGAGCAGAUCGUGUUGAAGGUCCUAUCAAUCAGACACCUCUUGCGCCAUGACAUACAGGGGAGACCAGCGCCUGGCCCUUCUAAGUUCAUAUUUUUUCUAAGUUUAUGUUUGCCGCCUUUAAUAUAUUUUUUUUUUUAGGAUAAAUCAGGUCAAGUGAGAAUCCUUUUCCGUAAUGCACUGGGUCUGUCAUUUUAUGCAUUUUCCUUUUUCCCCCUGGUUUAGUGUCUAAGUUCUUAAUUUGUCAAAUUUAUCUAUAUAAUCUAUUGAUAAAAAGAUUAAGCAUCAACAUUAACUACAUAGUCAAAUCAUAAAAUAAUACUAAUGGCUAGGCUAAAAUCAUAUCAUAUAUAUAUAUAUAUAUAUAUAUAAGUAGGCAAGGCCCGCUGAUGUGGCGUUUCAAUAGAUAAUAUUCUUAUUUAACUUUUUUGUCAAUUUUUUUGGCUUUAUUCUCAUGAAAAAAAAAAAACAAAUACCAUCUUUGAAGGAAAAGUCACGUACCUCCCUCACUCGCCCGAGGCAUAUCUCUUUUUGGGAUUUCUAGGUUUCAGUUUUAACCAUUUUUAUGUUGUCUUUCAUGUUUCUAUUUCAGAGAAUUUUAGGUUUUCUUCAUGCUUCCUACAAUUUUAUGAUGGAUUUCCUUCAAGAUUUUGGUCAAUUGUAGCUAUUAUAUCCUUCUGGCUAUUUUUCUUAACAGCUUAGGUUUUCUUUCGUGUUUGCUUGCGCUUCGUGUAUAGUCGGUUUUCUUCCUCGUUUUGUUCAAUCGUAGCAAUGAAAUUCUUCUGGUUAUCUUCUCGCCCACUUUGCCGGAUAUGUCAGCAAAAAUUUCCAAAUGACCUCAAACAAUUUCCCUUUAUUUUGAAGAACUAUUUUUUUUUUUUAUUAGUCUUUGCCACUUCUGUUGCAGUAUCAUGAUCGACAAUGCCGGUUGUUCAACGUCACUAGCGUUAUGGUCUGGUCAAAGGCAGUCAAAGGCAGCCCGGUGCACUUAGCUCCCGUUAUGCACGGAGUCCGGAGAAGGGCAGGACCACAGAGGUCUCUUGUACGCAGCCUUACCCUGCAUUAUUUGUGUAAGAGGCUGUUUCCACGGCUCGAACCUGUGACCUGCCAAAUUACAUAGAUUGACAGUGGAAGACAAUAUGGAGUGCUGCUCGAAACGGCUCAAUUCUAUUUGAUUUGAACCUUUAAAUGAAGAAAGGUUUACAUCUAUUGUAUAUUACAUAAAGUUGGUCAUAGAGUAUUAUUUGACGUGCUUGAAUUUCAUCUACCUAAUGACUCUUCUCUUAGUCACCACCAACAAUUAUCAUUGCUGCUUUUUCUCAUUCAUUCCUCAAAUUAUGUCAUUUUUAUUUUGCAAUGUCUUUUAGAACUGUCAAUUUAAACACAAACUAAAGCAAAUCACAUGUCGUGUCUAUCAGUAUAUACACAUUUAAUUGGAGAUUAUCAACUACUGAACAGGUGAAGUAACUAAUUCUCCAGUGAAUCGUUUAUUCAUCAUUAGUUUUCUGUUAUUUCCAGUUACUCCUAUCGAAUCCAAAAUGAAAAUGUGAAAUUAAUAAGGUGUUGCAUUAGUUUUUCUCAUUUAUGUAAGUGAAUGUGUUUCUUUACAUUUGUUUAUGGGCAGGAGAGAUGACGCAUGGUUUGCCUCUAUAGAAAGAUCAUGUAUUCAAAUGACUUGAAGUGAUAGGGGUUCUAUAUCGCUUGAGGGCCUCGGACUAGAAGUUGUGGAAAAUUUUCAGGAAGGCAAUUUUAUUUUAGCUAACGGAACUGAGCCCUUGGGGCCUCUUCUGGUGCCACACUUCCAUGAAUCUUGAUGUCCUUGAGAAGAUACUGGAGCAGUGUGCUGCUAAGAAAAUUCUCGUGUUAGUAGCAACAAAUCCUAAUUAUGUAACUGUUGAAGCUAAGGGUCUGCGUGAUAUGCCUGGCUGCACUACUAGAGACCACAUGUCUUCAUAACGCACCAUUAUGUGUAGAAGGAUAAGGAAAACAUUCAUCUGAAACAGUCCUCUCACCAGAAAAUGCGGCACAACAGCUUUACAAAAAGCGAUAAAUAGAAAUAAAGAAGUGCGAUUAAUCAGAUUAACAGAAAGAAGAGGAAGCGAUAGUACCACUAAAGUGUUUGGUAGAUUGGGACGAGACUGGCCUGAAAGAAUAUAACGUUCUAAUAAGAUUCUGUAUAGAGAAGACCAGCGAAAUUACUGAUGAAGAGGUGUCGUUGAAGCAGCUUUCAAAGGCUUAUCAACUUCUUAAAUCAAUGAAGGAACAGGGUUUUCAAGUAGAAGAGGAGAGCUAUGGUUCAAUUCUUAUGUAUUUUAUUGAUUUUGGCAUGGUACGGGAGUUUGAUUUGUACUAUGAGCUCAUCAUAGAUAGAAAUGUUGAUUCACUUGCAAGAUUUUAGCUUACUGAGAUGUUGCUUUCGACUAAAGCUGAAAAUGAAGAUGAAAUCUACCAUCUUUCUCUAUAUGAUGGUGCCGAUAAAUCCGCGUUUCAAGGGACCAAGUUAAGGAUUUUGCGAGGCUUCUACGAGCUGUUGACAUAACAAAAAUUCUAUCUACUGAUUCUGUCACAAAUAUCUUCAAGUUCUAGGGGAAGUUGUAUUUGAGUCCUUCGCAAGGAAGUUUCUCUUUAGGAGCUGGUAACAAGAGGUAAACUAUCACGUUUCUUUUAUUUCAAGAAUCGAAUGUGAUGUUGAAUUUCUGCAGUCUUUUUGUUUUACAAUAAGUUAUUUUUUCUGUUUUAUGGUGCAUGAUUGAUGGACUAUAAUUUUCAUUUUGAUAAUAUUACUCCUUAUUUGAAGAAGCAUAUGUGUUCUUACUAGGCAGUUUCCAAAGUCAUUACUCCAUUAUUUAUGUCUAGGAACAUGAAAGGAUGAGAUGGAGCUGUUGGAUAUCUUGGUCUGGCUUGUGGGUCACCCAUGUGGACUGACCCGACCCGUUUAAAAGAGAUAGAGAUGAGAGAAUUUACUAUAGGGAUAAGGGAAGUUACCUUACGGUUAAUAACAUUGGUUUAUAUGAAAAACACUUCUCCCUUUUUUUGCUAGAUGAAAAACUCAUGUUUGUUUCCUCUCUGGGAGGAAUUAAUACAAACUCUCUCCCUCUUCAGUUACAUUUUAUAUAAUCACGAGCUCUUAACAGAGUAGCAUUUGAAUCGUGAAUAGAAGCAUAUAAACCAAAAAUUGAUCAAAUACAAAUUUAAUUAGUAACCACUGAGAGUUUAUCAAUUUGUAAGGAGACAGGUUGCUUAGGUGAGGAAGUCGUUUUGCAACCUGUGGUUUAAGACUUUGUUAAAUGAUGAAUCUGCAACUCCUGAGAAUUGUGAAGGCACGUUAGCCAAGGUGGAAGAAGCACCUGCAAUGGCAAUAGAACCACCAAAAGGCUUGACGAUGAUUAAUGCUAAAUAAUCAAGUUUUGGCGGGGAACUUUCACCUCUUCAGAUGUAAAUAUUUACUUGUAAUCUUUUUUUUUUAUUUGGGGUUUUUUUUCCAGCUUUAGUGGAAGAACAUCAAAGUUGAAUUUGUUAUUCUUCAUAAUUAUUCUCUCUGUCUUCCUUCCUCAUGUAUCAUAUCUCAAGCUUUUAGCUUUUAUUUGAGAGAGAAUAGAUGAAUAUUUGAUGUCUAAAAAAUAUUUCACUUUACAUAUUGUAAUUAUUGUAAUAAUUUAUGAUAAAAUCAUAAAUAAAUAUUUUGUUAGUAGAGAAUUAUUUUCUUUUAUAU